rnacentral:rRNA from 1 species
GGGUCCGGACACACUGAGGAUUGACAGGCAAUAUUAAUACGUGUUUCGGCGCGUAUUAUGUUAAAUAUGCUAGUCCUUUCAUGAUUAUGUGAUAGGUGGUGCAUGGCCGUUCUUAGUUCGUGGAGUGAUCUGUCUGCUUAAUUGCGUUUCACUAAGAAUCUAUCAAUACGUGCGUUGCGGCACUUUGACCCCUCUCUGAGCGCGCGUCUUAGUUGCUUAGCUCGCACAAUUAGGUUCUGAAAGCAACGAACGUGACCGCAACCUCUUGUUGCCUUUAUACCAAACACAUUAAUCGCUUUUGUGAUUUUUGUGCAAAAAGGCUUUUUAAACUAGAGGGACCGCUGUUACUUUCUUAAACCAGAGGAAGGUUGCGGCAAUAACAGGUCUGUGAUGCCCUUAGAUGUUCCGGGCUGCACACGUGCUACAAUGAUUGUUGCAGUGAGCAUCUCAUUUUUACACACCGCAUGCGCGAGUCCAUUUAUUCACUUCGGUGCUUUAAAUGUGUAUUUCUGCGCGCGGUAAAGCCUGCUUCGAGAGUAAGUGGGU